CAUUGUAAUAAAUUCUGUUCAUGAAGAUAAUUUAGGCUUUCAAAUAUGGAAGCAAAAUUCUAACUAAUAAACUUUAAUAAAAAAUAUUCAUGGUAGCACAUUAAAACAUUUGUUUUAGGAUAUAUUAUUUAAAAUGGCUUUUAACUUUUCUUGCCUCACUGGGGGAAGAGGAAAAUGGAAGUUGAAAGUACAUUAUCCUGUAAAAACAGCUAAGCAUUCAAUUGUUUGUCUGUUUUCCACAGAUGGGCGGAAACCAUUUCCAAUUAACCAUGGUGAAACUAGUGAUGAAACUUUAUUAGAGGAUGCCAUAGAAGUUUGCAAGAAGUUUAUGGAGCGUGACCCUGAUGAACUAAGAUUUAAUGCGAUUGCUCUUUCUGCAGCAUAGCUUGUCAAUAAUGGAAACACCAAAAACUGUAUUAUUUGCAACUAAAUUUUCUCUGCCAUACACUAACUCAAAAAUUUUGAUAUUUUCAUUAACUUGAUGAUUAAACUUUAUGUGAGUUAAA
rnacentral:sRNA from 1 species